rnacentral:rRNA from 1 species
UACGGAAGGCAGCAGUGGGGAAUAUUGCACAAUGGGCGCAAGCCUGAUGCAGCCAUGCCGCGUGUAUGAAGAAGGCCUUCGGGUUGUAAAGUACUUUCAGUCGUGAGGAAGGUGUUAAGGUUAAUAACCUUAGCAAUUGACGUUAGCGACAGAAGAAGCACCGGCUAACUCCGUGCCAGCAGCCGCGGUAAUACGGAGGGUGCGAGCGUUAAUCGGAAUUACUGGGCGUAAAGGGCACGCAGGCGGUUAAUUAAGUUGGAUGUGAAAUCCCCGGGCUUAACCUGGGAAUGGCAUUCAAGACUGGUUAGCUAGAGUCUUGUAGAGGGGGUUAGAAUUCCAUGUGUAGCGGUGAAAUGCGUAGAGAUGUGGAGGAAUACCGGUGGCGAAGGCGGCCCCUGGGACAAAGGACUGACGCUCAUGUGCGAAAGCGUGGGGAGCAAAC